ACAGUCUUCUAUAAUAUCCCAAAUGCAUCAGAUCCCUUCUGAUUCUGGAAGUUAAGUGGAUCAGCCCUAGUUGGUAUUUGGAUGGGAGACCACCAAUAAAUACCAAGUACUGUAUUUC
rnacentral:rRNA from 1 species